rnacentral:rRNA from 1 species
UACGUAGGGGGGCAAGCGUUUGUUCGGAUUCAUUGGGCGUAAAGGGUGCGUAGGCGGCGGGGUAAGUCUGAUGUGAAAUCCCGGGGCUCAACCCCCGGAACUGCAUUGGAUACUGCCUUGCUAGAGUACUGGAGAGGAGAUUGGAAUUUACGGUGUAGCAGUGAAAUGCGUAGAUAUCGUAAGGAAGACCAGUGGCGAAGGCGAAUCUCUGGACAGUUACUGACGCUGAGGCACGAAGGCCAGGGGAGCAAAGCGGG